rnacentral:rRNA from 1 species
CCCUUAGAUGAUUUGGGCUGCACGCGCGCUACACUGACCCUAACAAUGAGCAACUGUCUGGCCUGAGAUGGCUGGGUAGCCUUUUCAACCCAUGUCAUGAUUGGGCUAGAUUUUUGUAAGUCUUGAUCUCUAACGAGGAAUCCCUAGUAUGCGUGAAUCAUCAAUCCAUGCAGAUUAUGUCCCUGCCCUUUGUACACACCGCCCGUCGCUCCUACUGAUUGGGUGAUCCGGUGAGCUGUUCGGCCAUAGCAAUGUUUCUUGAGCAGGGCAAGGAAUGUUUCGCAAACCUUGCCACUUAGAGGAAGGAGAAGUCGUAACA